UGCCGGCGACCGACGACGACAAGACUGGGGUGUGAUUUGCGGCCGGAUCCGCGGGAUCUGCGUACAGCAAUGGCGCGAUCUCCGGGAUUUGCGUACGAGAUGGCGGUAUUUGCGGGAUCUCCGGCUCAGCGAGCGGCGCGGAAUAGCGAGACAGUGCGCCGGUGAGAUUUCGGGUGCGGGAUUCGUGAGAUCUGUGUAUGGGGCGGAUUUCUGGCGAAUCGGCGGGCUUCACAGGA
rnacentral:lncRNA from 1 species